rnacentral:lncRNA from 1 species
CAGCCCCCUCCCUGCUGAAGGGACUGUGACCUCAGUCCCUCCCAGCACAGAGGCCACAGCACAGGCGGCUCUGGCCCCCAAAGACGCUUUCCUGACAGAUGUGUAGUACUGACUGAAAGACGAGGCACUGUGAGGAGAUUAUGCUAUCUGCUGAUGUCUGGCCCCGAGUCCUUGAGGAAUGGAAGCCAAGAGAGUCUCGCUGGGGGCUUCUGGGAGGAGCCAGAGUGGUCAGCAUGAGCCCAGCCACGGUCAACCUCCCUGGUCAGCCCUGGAGCCACCCACUGCCUGGGAACUGGGCAGAAGGCGGCUGUUGAGGGGUCAGCAGAGGAGGCAAGAAAGGAAGCCCAAGCCACCCAGAGGGAAGGGCCUAGGGACGGAAGAGGCAGAGGGACAGGAAGCAGAUGACAGCUUUGAGGUCUGCGUGGGGACCCCUGGGCUUUCUUGCCCUUUCCUCAGGGGCCACGUGAGUGGCCACAGCCUCCGGCCAGGAGACCUUGAUUGGAAAGGGAUCACUUUUUGUUUUCGUGUUUAACUCUGCCACCGAGCCCCUCCCCACAU